UACAGAGGGUGCUAGCGUUGUCCGGAAUUAUUGGGCGUAAAGAGCUCGUAGGCGGUCUGUCGCGUCUGCUGUGAAAACUCAGGGCUUAACCCUGAGCUUGCAGUGGGUACGGGCAGACUAGAGUGCGGUAGGGGAGACUGGAAUUCCCGGUGUAGCGGUGAAAUGCGUAGAUAUCAGGAGGAACACCGGUGGCGAAGGCGGUUCUCUGGGCAUUACCUGACGCUGAGGAGCGAAAGCAUGGGGAGCGAACAGG
rnacentral:rRNA from 1 species